GCCAGAUAUGGUGGCAGAAGCCUAUAGUCCCAGCUGCUCAGGAGGCCGAGAUGGGAGGAUCACUUGAGCCCAGGAGUCUUGGGCUGUAGUGAGCUAUGGCUGUCCACACUAAGUUUAGCAUCAGUAUGGUAAUCUCCAAGGAGCAGGGGACCACCAGGUCCCCUAAGGAGGAAUGAACAGGCCCAGGUUGGAAAUGGAGCUGAUCAGUAGUGGCAUCACGCCUGUGAAUAGCCACUUCGCUCCAGCCUGGGCAGCAGGGCAAGACCCCAUCUUU
rnacentral:SRP_RNA from 1 species